rnacentral:rRNA from 1 species
GGAGUCGCUGGCGGUAGGCCUAGACAUGCAGUCGGUGCAGGGUAGCCGUAACCUUGCUUUUUGGGUGGGAGUGGGGGACGUUUGAAUAAUGUCUGGAAAACUAACCGAUGGAGGGGGAUAACUACUGGAAACGGUAGCUAAUACCGCAUAACGUCGCAAGACCAAAGAGGGGGACCUUCGGGCCUCUUGCCAUCGGAUGUGCCCAGAUGGGAUUAGCUAGUAGGUGGGGUAACGGCUCACCUAGGCGACGAUCCCUAGCUGGUCUGAGAGGAUGACCAGCCACACUGGAACUGAGACACGGUCCAGACUCCUACGGGAGGCAGCAGUGGGGAAUAUUGCACAAUGGGCGCAAGCCUGAUGCAGCCAUGCCGCGUGUAUGAAGAAGGCCUUCGGGUUGUAAAGUACUUUCAGCGAGGAGGAAGGCGUUGUGGUUAAUAACCGCAGCGAUUGACGUUACUCGCAGAAGAAGCACCGGCUAACUCCGUGCCAGCAGCCGCGGUAAUACGGAGGGUGCAAGCGUUAAUCGGAAUUACUGGGCGUAAAGCGCACGCAGGCGGUCUGUCAAGUCGGAUGUGAAAUCCCCGGGCUCAACCUGGGAACUGCAUCCGAAACUGGCAGGCUAGAGUCUUGUAGAGGGGGGUAGAAUUCCAGGUGUAGCGGUGAAAUGCGUAGAGAUCUGGAGGAAUACCGGUGGCGA